GUAGGUGGCAAGCGUUGUCCGGAAUUAUUGGGCGUAAAGCGCGCGCAGGCGGUUCUUUAAGUCUGAUGUGAAAGCCCACGGCUCAACCGUGGAGAGUCAUUGGAAACUGGAGAACUUGAGUACAGAAGAGGAAAGCGGAAUUCCACGUGUAGCGGUGAAAUGCGUAGAGAUGUGGAGGAACACCAGUGGCGAAGGCGGCUUUCUGGUCUGUAACUGACGCUGAGGCGCGAAAGCGUGGGGAGCAAACAGGAUUAGAUACCCUGGUAGUCCACGCCGUAAACGAUGAGUGCUAAGUGUUAGGGGGUUUUCCGCCCCCCUUAGUGCUGCAGCUAACGCAUUAAGCACUCCGCCUGGGAGUACGGCCGCAAGGCUG
rnacentral:rRNA from 1 species